rnacentral:rRNA from 1 species
GAGUUGAUCCUGGCUCAGAACGAACGCUGGCGGCAGGCCUAACACAUGCAAGUCGAGCGAGGACUUCGGUCCUAGCGGCGGACGGGUGAGUAACGCGUGGGAACGUGCCCUUCACUACGGAAUAGUCCCGGGAAACUGGGUUUAAUACCGUAUACGCCCUUCGGGGGAAAGAAUUUCGGUGAAGGAUCGGCCCGCGUCUGAUUAGGUAGUUGGUGGGGUAACGGCCUACCAAGCCUACGAUCAGUAGCUGGUUUGAGAGGAUGAUCAGCCACACUGGGACUGAGACACGGCCCAGACUCCUACGGGAGGCAGCAGUGGGGAAUCUUAGACAAUGGGGGCAACCCUGAUCUAGCCAUGCCGCGUGAGUGACGAAGGCCCUAGGGUCGUAAAGCUCUUUCACCAGGGAAGAUAAUGACGGUACCUGGAGAAGAAACCCCGGCUAACUCCGUGCCAGCAGCCGCGGUAAUACGGAGGGGGUUAGCGUUGUUCGGAAUUACUGGGCGUAAAGCGCGCGUAGGCGGACUGUUAAGUCAGGGGUGAAAUCCCGGGGCUCAACCCCGGAACUGCCCUUGAUACUGGCAGUCUCGAGUUCGAGAGAGGUGAGUGGAACUCCGAGUGUAGAGGUGAAAUUCGUAGAUAUUCGGAAGAACACCAGUGGCGAAGGCGGCUCACUGGCUCGAUACUGACGCUGAGGUGCGAAAGUGUGGGGAGCAAACAGGAUUAGAUACCCUGGUAGUCCACACCGUAAACGAUGAAUGCCAGACGUCGGGCAGCAUGCUGUUCGGUGUCACACCUAACGGAUUAAGCAUUCCGCCUGGGGAGUACGGCCGCAAGGUUAAAACUCAAAGGACUUGACGGGGGCCCACACAAGCGGUGGAGCAUGUGGUUUACUUCGAAGCAACGCGCAGAAC